CUCCACCCCAGAAAAGCACCCCAACCGAAAAACAGACCGGAGCAGUGCAGUGGAGGAGGGGAGGGAAAAAUAUCUGGCAGCGCUCGUGGGUAUUAUCUGGCCCAUUUCCACCCGUGCCUUCGAUCCUCUCUCUCCCCCCACCCCCGCGUGACGUGGCACGCAGGGCUGCAGAUAUUUUCAUCCGUUCCCCUCUCUCCACCUCCCACGACGGACGGCGACGACGAGAUGCCCCCCGACGCCGACGCCGGGGAGCCGGCGGCCGCGGCGGCGGGGCCCGGAGGAGGGGCGGCGCGCGGGGUGAUCCGCUGGGACGAGAUCCUGCCGCGCCGCUCGCUCCGGGUGCUCCUCGUCGAGCACGACGACUCCACCCGCCAGGUCGUCACCGCGCUCCUCCGCAAGUGCGGGUACCGCGUGGCGGCGGUGGCGGACGGGAUGAAGGCGUGGGAGGUCAUGCGGGGCCGCGCGUACGCCUUCGACCUCGUGCUCACGGAGGUCAACAUGCCCACGCUCUCCGGAAUCGACCUGCUCUCCAGGAUCGUCGCGGCUGACGAGUGCAAGAACAUCCCCGUUAUAAUGAUGUCAUCCCAAGAUUCCAUUGGCACAGUGCUAAAGUGCAUGCAGAAUGGGGCAGUGGACUUCCUCGUGAAGCCAGUUAGGAAGAAUGAGUUGCGUAACUUAUGGCAACAUGUGUGGAGGCGGCACUCGAUGAACAGCCAAUUAAAUGCAUCAGAAAACAAUGCAGCCAGCAACCAUAUAAGUGUGAAUUCUGGUACCGGGUCAAAGACAGGAGAAAACAGCGAUGAGAAAAGUGAUGCUCAGAGCUCUGGAAGCAAAAGGGAGACUGACAUUCAGAGUGUUGAGAAAUUACCGGAGAUUGUGGCACAUAAUGGAGCAAGCUCAUGCAGAGAACUAAAAAUACAGAAUGGGCCUUUUGAUAGAAUGAACACAAAGGCACUUGCAUUAAAGGGCACUGAUGAUGCUCCAAGUGGAAAUGCAUGUGGCACCAGUAAGCAGCAAGUGUUUUCAGCUGAGAAGAAUGUGUGUUCCAAGUAUCUUCAUGGCAUUACUUCUGCAAAGGUUGCUGGACAGAUAAUGGACAACGCCAUGAGGAUUGCUGAUGCAAGUUCAUGUCGUCCAAGUGAUCCUGGCAAAGAUCUUAUGGCUACUGGCCAACCAACAACUAGCAAAAAAUGCAAAUCUCCAGUCACAAAGAAUAACGCUGUCAAGCCUGUCAUGGAAAAUACCCUUCAUGAAAAUUCAAAGGGUGCUGCGAUCGGCCAUCCCCAGCCUUGCCCCUCUCACUUGCUGGAUGUCAACUUAGGAAAGCAACAGCGUUCUGAUGGUCAUGUGAACCAAGAACUGAGGGAUAAGGAUAAUUUUAAUCACUCAAAUUCUUCAGCCUUUUCAAGGUAUGGUAAUAAAAGAAUAGAGCCAUCAGCUAAGCAACUGUCUCUUCCCUCCGUCCACUUAACUUAUCAAGAAUCUGUUUAUGACAAGAAUGUUCAAUCUAGUGGGGCUUUGCCCUCGCAUGAACACCAUACAUGCAAGAUUACAAUGCAAGCUCAGGCUCCUUUGGACAGUUGCACAGUGGGUCCUGCCAUCCCGUCUUCAAGCAGUGCAAGAGAAGAUGCUGGCACAAUCAGUUCCUCCCCUAGAAAGGACAAUUUCGGUCAUCCUCCUUAUGGCUUUAUACCUGUUCCAAUUUCUGUCGCUGCUGCUAUACCGUACCAGUACAGUGCAAUUAUGCCUCCGAUAUACUACACACAGCCUCCUUUUAUGCAAUGCGAUCCAUCUGGCAUCAACCAGAUGGGAAUUCAGCAUGCAUAUCAUUCUAGUUACCAUCAAAAUCUUGGUAAACCAUCAGAGAUUGAUGAACACAGACAGCUAGAAGAAAACCAGCGGUUGCAUCAUUCAAAACAAAUUCUCCAAGAAUCAGGAGAACCUAUUGACUUGUUGAGAGCUCAUGCAGAGCGCAAUAACCAGAGUGCUAGUUGUAGCCAGGAUAUCCGUGGAUGGACUGUGAGCGGUGAAACUGAUACAAACACCAACGCAAUAAUUGCCCCAGAAAGCGGCAACGAGAGUGGCAUCCAGAACUUCGGUUACAAUGGACUGGAUAGUGAUCGGUCUCGUCGUGAAGCUGCCUUGAUGAAAUUCCGCAUGAAAAGGAAAGAUAGAUGCUUCGAGAAGAAGGUCAGAUAUCACAGCAGGAAGAAGCUUGCAGAGCAAAGACCAAGAAUCAAGGGGCAGUUUGUUAGCCAAAAACUCAAGUCAGCUACAACAACGGAAGAUGCAGAAACAGAUUAGUGACGUUGUUAAUCCAUGACUGUCCUUUUGAUACUUCGCUUCCCAGAGGGGAAUUUAAAGUAACUGGUAAGAGUGAAAGGCUGGCAAAAGUUUUCCUUACAGGGUUAGCCUUUUGUACAAGUGUUCCGUGUACUUCUUUGUCGGUUGUUUAUUGACAUGGUUUGCCUGUAAAGAGUGUCGAAUUGAAAAUCCUCUGGGGGGAUAGGAAAUCAAUGCAGAUAUUCAGAUUUUCCGUCACAUGUUUGUGGUGUGUUACAUCCUUACAGUAGCUCUAGAUUAUAGUCAGUAAGCCUUGCUUCCUCACAUGAGCAUGCCCAAUGUAAUUAUGCUUUCCCUUAGCUGUAUUUCCUCCUCUAUGUAAGAUGAUUGAAGGACAACCUGCCAACGUUUUUUCUUUCAUUUCAAACCCCUGUUUGAAAGGCGGGUUAUCCUUUUCCCAGUUCUUGCGGUCAUUCAACAGUUUCCUGUGGAACUGCCGCGGAACGUUUUGAGGCCAUAAUAGAGUAGCAACUCACCCGACUUCUUUCUCCAACCGACCAGGCUUCUGCAGAUGCUUUACCUGCCUUGCACUCUGCAGAUCAUUACACAUGCACUUCUCAAUCUACUAUCCCUGUCACUCUAUCUUACAAAAGUUUGCCAACACUUUUGAGCUCCAUGAGACAAGGUAUCAGUCACAAACAUAUGUUACGGUGGCCGAUUUCUUGAGACGCAUCAAUCGUUUGGUGCCAAUCCUGGAGAGGAGCAUCUUCUCUUUACACCCUGCUUCUCAUAUUCUCUCCCAGCUUGCACCUGAAGUUUCACACAUCUUCUCCUGCACUGCACUUCUUGGCUUAUAAACCGGCAGCUCCGGCCCACAAGCAGCCGAUCGCAGGAAUCUCAUUCCCCCACCUGCGCCAAGCAAGCUCAUGAGAGCAGCCUGUCAAGGUGGCAAUGGAGGGACCAAGAGCGGUGGCGAUGGUGGCGGUGAUCGUCCUGGUGGCGUGUUGUGGUGCUCAGCUGGCUGUCGCCGGAGGUGACCAGGGCCAGCCGGCGGCGGGAGGGCCGGAGGCGAGUCUGCUGUGCAUCAGCGAGUGCGGGACGUGCCCCACGGUGUGCACGUCGCCGCCGCCAGCUCCUCCCUCGCCGUCAUCAUCAUCAUCUACACCGUCGCCUCCCUCGCCGUCAUCGUCAUCAUCAACACCGUCGCCUCCCUCGCCAUCGACGUCGAUCCUCCCGCUGCCCACGCCCCCGCCGCCGUAUCUGACUCUGCUGCUCCCGCCGCCCCCGUCGUCAUCGUCGACGGAGCUGCCCCCGUCCACGCCGUCGCCGACUCCACCGAAGAGCAGCGGCGGGUCGUCAUCGUCUUCGUCUUCCUCGGCUCCGUCCUCGCACUUCUCGUCGCCGCCGUCCCCGCCGUCGUCCUCGGCGAACCCGUACUACUACUUCUACCUCUCCGGGGGCAGCAGGAGCCGCGGCGCGUCGAGCGUCUACGCCGUCGUCAUCCUCGCGCUGCUCCUGCCCGCCGUCACCUUUUGGAGGUGAGAUGAGGUGUUGGACGUUGUCGUUGCGUCGCCGUGUGCCCAUUCUGGUGAACUCCUCGUGUGUUUAUAGUACUACAAGUACUGUCACUUCUUUUCCCUUCCCGGCCCCCGUCAGAUUCAGAAGCUAGCAGCACUUCCACUGUCUAGUAGUAAUUCGUUUUUGUUGUUGUAACCCUGUCUAGUAAUUCG
rnacentral:rRNA from 1 species